rnacentral:rRNA from 1 species
UACGGGGGGGGCAAGCGUUGUUCGGAAUUACUGGGCGUAAAGGGCUUGUAGGUGGCCAACUAAGUCAGACGUGAAAUCCCUCGGCUUAACCGGGGAACUGCGUCUGAUACUGGAUGGCUCGAGUGUGGGAGAGGGAUGCGGAAUUCUAGGUGUAGCGGUGAAAUGCGUAGAUAUCUGGAGGAACACCGGUGGCGAAGGCGGCAUCCUGGACCAUAACUGACACUGAUAAGCGAAAGCCAGGGGAGCAAACGGG